CGUUCCCGGGCCUUGUACACACCGCCCGUCACACCACGAAAGUCGGCAACACCCGAAGUCAGUGGCCCAACCCGCAAGGGGGGGGAGCUGCCGAAGGUGGGGUUGGUGAUUGGGGUG
rnacentral:rRNA from 1 species